UCUAGCUACAACAGGCUCACUGCCGAUACCAUUGCUCAACCAGGCAUGAAGGACUGGUACCUGCGACAGUCUCGGGACCUGAGCAGGCUCGAUCCUGGCAUC
rnacentral:rRNA from 1 species